GUAGCCCUGCACAUGUCCAUCCGAGAAUUACGUCACAGGUGGGCACAAGCCGCAGUCAUUCCCCGGCGCCUCCCUGCAGUCUCAGGUAGCAGCGGCGAUGCGUAGUGCUGUUGCUUUGUACUGAGUGAGCGUGAAAGAACGCUCGUGACGAUAUAUGGUGAUGGACGUGUGGGCCUUUACGUUGUGGAAAUAGAAGAUGAAAAAAUGACAACAAACUGAUCAAAUUAGAAGACGCUGAGGCAAAGAACAAAAUGGAGGAAAACCUGGAGAAGUGGAGUGAUGGAGGCAAUGUACAUUCUCUCCCCGCCACCACCACCACCGCCACCCGCAGCAGGCAGCAGGAGAGGUAAGAAGCAGUGUUCCAAACGUCUGAUGAUCGCCUGGGGCACUCCGAGGGUCACCGCACUUACUCUCACCCCCACCUCAUAUCACAGGUAAUGGUGAUGACAGCAAUAACACACUCACAACAACACGCGGCCUAAUGCUGAUGGGAGGAGUUGUCACCCACGGAAUGUUCUUGUCCAGUUUGUCCUUAUCGUCACCGCGCGCCGGCCUCUUAUCCUGCAUACUCUCUCACUCAUUCCUCUUUUUUUUUUUUUUCCGCUUUUCUGGAGUUUUUGUGUCUUUCUCGCUAUUUUCUUAUUUUUUGGUCUUUAUUUUCUACUUUCUUAAGUUUAGUCAUUUUUUCUAUUUUCUCCUUGAUUUUUUGUCUACUUUUUUAUUUUCUUAAGUUUUCGUCUCUUUUAUUAUUUUUAUUUUCCAUGUGUCUUUAUUUUUGUUCCUGAGUUUUCGCUUCUUUAUUUCGUAUUUUUCUUCGCAAGUUUUUGUGUCCUUUCCGUUUUCUUUUUUAAG